rnacentral:lncRNA from 1 species
GUGAAGGCAGCAAGGCUGCUGAUAAAAAGGACACUUAUCCACCUUGUAUACAUUGCAAAAAAACUGGUCAUUCACCUAAAUGGUGUUGGUCUAGACUUGGUGUCCAAUGUAGGAAUUGCAAGAAACUUGGACAUGUGCAAAAAGUGUGUAAAAAUCAAAAGGAAAACCAGAACCAGCAGCAGGCAAAAAUGGCAGAGAAUGAGCUUCAACAUCUGGAGGAGCAUUUGUUUACUGCCAUUAAUUUUAAAGCCUGCAGCAAUGUUAAAAAUUGGCUAUUGAACAGUGGUUGCACACACCAUAUGUCUUCAGAAUUCAGCACUUUUGUUGAGUUAAACGGCUCAUAUAAAUCAAGGGUGAAGGUUGGCAAUGGAGACUAUGUGAAAGUAGAAGGGAUUGGAGUGAUUGUUGUCCAAACUCCAUCAAGUAUUAAACAUAUUGUUGAUGUACUUUAUGUACCUGAUAUCAAUCAGAAUUUGAUAAGUGUAGGCCAAUUGAUUGAGAGGAGUUAUACACUGAUUUUUAAAAAUACUGGUUGCACUAUAUAUGAUCCAAGUGGAAAAGAAUUGAUGUCAAUUGAAAUGAGGCAAAGAAGCUUUCCAUUAGAAUGGAAGAACAUGACCUCUAAUGCUUUUACUUGUACUGAAGUUGAGGCUUCACUUUGGCAUAAGAGGUUUGGUCAUGCUAAUUUUACAUCACUUAAACAUAUGCACAAGUUUGAGCUAGCUGAAAAUAUACCAGAUAUAAGUGAUGAAGCUUGUGUGUGUGAUGUGUGUCAAAGAAGUAAACAAACCAGGUUGCCGUUUCCAAAAAACCAGUCAAGAAGAG